rnacentral:lncRNA from 1 species
AUUUGUGCUUUUAUUCUUGGUUGGCAGGAUAACGAAGGUGCUUCCUUGAUGUAAGAUUUAUGCAUUCUGCAGAAGAGAAUAAACAAUGGGUAGAUGAUCACGGCAAAAAGUAGUAAAGAAUAUGUGGGCAUACUUAAUGAUGUUCAUCUAGUUUGUUCAAGUGCUGUAACUUACUGCAUUUGUGCCUGGCCAGAUCCUGCACCUAUGAAAACAUAAGUAUUUAUAAUUAGAGAGGUGCAUGAUCAGCGUUAAAUGAAUCUGCCUCCCAACAGCUCUGAAAUGUCACUGCUGCUGUUGUGAAGACACAGAUAAAUUUUGUUAUCUGCAAGUCCUGAGCAAAUCAGCAUGCCUAUAAAUAACAUGAACAGGGGUGAUGGGAAAACAAUACUGUUUGCUUCAUAAGAUCAAAGAAUGAGAUGGUUCAUUUAAGUAGACACAGUUUUUAUUAUAUAUUUACAGGUAAGGCCCUGGCAAAAACAGAGGAAAAUGGCUUCCAGUGCUCGUGCAUGAGCAGUCAUUCCAAUUUCAUCCCUCCCAAGGCAAUUCAGCAUGUGAAACUAAGCUGAAGAGGACCUCACUGCAAAAAGGUGGAAAUCAUAUAAGUAGCUUUGCCCAACAGCACCCUGCUCUCUCUAUAAGAGGAAAUGACCUGGUGUUUUGUACCCUACUUACUUACUUGGAGUGGAAUUUUACAUCCCCUGCAAAGCCUCCUAGAUGUUUCCACUUAUAGAUCGGAAGAUGCUGACAGAUGUAGCGAGAUGGAGGACAAAGGGCUGUGCGGCUACAGCGUGACGAAGCCCAGCACUCCGACCUGUCUGCAAGCUGUUUGGCGAGGCUCGGGCUAAAGUGAGCUGCUCUGACCACACUGCCAGGAAGCAUUCAUGCUGAUAUCUGCAAAGCUACACUGGCUGUAGCUUAAGCAGCCAGUAAAUUAACAGCAAGUGACCUUUGAAGAACCAGAGGUGAAUGCAUGAUGUAAAUAGUCUACUAACCACUUCUAAUUUAAUCAGAAAUUCCCAGGACAACUUCCUCAAACAUCUCAUAUGUUUCUUCCCAUUGCUUCCAUAUCUUACUUCCACAGUCUGCUGGACAGGAAGAAAAUGCUUCCUGCCACAGUCAUGAAAGGGAAAUGCAACUAAAGGAAUAAAUGUAGCCUUCAUCUAGCA